rnacentral:rRNA from 1 species
GACGAACGCUGGCGGCGUGCUUAACACAUGCAAGUCGAACGAUGAAGCCUAGCUUGCUAGGUGGAUUAGUGGCGAACGGGUGAGUAAUACGUGAGUAACCUACCUUUAACUCUGGGAUAAGCCCGGGAAACUGGGUCUAAUACCGGAUACGACCAAUCUCCGCAUGGGGUGUUGGUGGAAAGCGUUAUGUAGUGGUUAUAGAUGGGCUCACGGCCUAUCAGCUUGUUGGUGAGGUAACGGCUCACCAAGGCGACGACGGGUAGCCGGCCUGAGAGGGUGACCGGCCACACUGGGACUGAGACACGGCCCAGACUCCUACGGGAGGCAGCAGUGGGGAAUAUUGCACAAUGGGCGCAAGCCUGAUGCAGCGACGCCGCGUGAGGGAUGACGGCCUUCGGGUUGUAAACCUCUGUUAGCAGGGAAGAAGAGAGAUUGACGGUACCUGCAGAGAAAGCGCCGGCUAACUACGUGCCAGCAGCCGCGGUAAUACGUAGGGCGCGAGCGUUGUCCGGAAUUAUUGGGCGUAAAGAGCUUGUAGGCGGUUUGUCGCGUCUGCUGUGAAAGGCCGGGGCUUAACUCCGUGUAUUGCAGUGGGUACGGGCAGACUAGAGUGCAGUAGGGGAGACUGGAAUUUCCUGGUGUAGCGGUGGAAUGCGCAGAUAUCAAGAGGAACACCGAUGGCGAAGGCAGGUCUCUGGGCUGUAACUGACGCUGAGAAGCGAAAGCAUGGGGAGCGAACAGGAUUAGAUACCCUGGUAGUCCAUGCCGUAAACGUGGGGCACUAGGGGUGGGGAACAUUCCACGUUUUCCGCGCCGUAGCUAACGCAUUAAGUGCCCCGCCUGGGGAGUACGGCCGCAAGGCUAAAACUCAAAGAAAUUGACGGGGGCCCGCACAAGCGGCGGAGCAUGCGGAUUAAUUCGAUGCAACGCGAAGAACCUUACCAAGGCUUGACAUAUACUGGACCGCAUCAGAGAUGGUGUUUCCCUUCGGGGCUGGUAUACAGGUGGUGCAUGGUUGUCGUCAGCUCGUGUCGUGAGAUGUUGGGUUAAGUCCCGCAACGAGCGCAACCCUCGUUCUAUGUUGCCAGCACGUAAUGGUGGGGACUCAUAGGAGACUGCCGGGGUCAACUCGGAGGAAGGUGGGGAUGACGUCAAAUCAUCAUGCCCCUUAUGUCUUGGGCUUCACGCAUGCUACAAUGGCCGGUACAGAGGGUUGCGAUACUGUGAGGUGGAGCUAAUCCCUAAAAGCCGGUCUCAGUUCGGAUUGGGGUCUGCAACUCGACCCCAUGAAGUCGGAGUCGCUAGUAAUCGCAGAUCAGCAACGCUGCGGUGAAUACGUUCCCGGGCCU